UACAGAGGUCCCGAGCGUUGUUCGGAUUCACUGGGCGUAAAGGGCGCGUAGGCGGCUUGAUAAGCGUGCGGUGAAAGCCCGGGGCUCAACCCCGGGUCGGCCGUGCGAACUGUCGAGCUGGAGCACUGUAGAGGCAGGUGGAAUUCCGGGUGUAGCGGUGGAAUGCGUAGAGAUCCGGAAGAACACCUGUGGCGAAAGCGGCUCACUGGACCACAACUGACGCUGAUGCGCGAAAGCUAGGGGAGCAAACAGG
rnacentral:rRNA from 1 species